UCGGAUUUAGCCAGUCUAUUGUUAGAAGUUGAUAUUCGUGGGGGAUAGUUCGGAAACCGGUGCCCAAACUCCCUUAAGAUUGAGAAAACUUUGGGGAAAAGAAGGCUAAUUCGCAAUACAGUUUCCAUUCGGGAGUGCAGGAAGCUAGAAAUGCUCCGGCGCCAUAGGAUGUGGCUGCGGCCGAUUAGGUAGACGGUGGGGUAACGGCCCACCGUGCCAGUAAUCGGUACGGGUGAUGAGAGUCAGAGCCCGGAGACGGUAUUUGAGACAAGAUACCGGGCCCUACGGGGCGCAGCAGGCGGGAAACCUUUACACUGC
rnacentral:rRNA from 1 species